rnacentral:lncRNA from 1 species
GUUACUUCAGCAACAGACUCAAGCUAAUACUGAAAUGGAAGAAAAAUUGAAGACCCUUGAAAGAGAUAAUGAGCUGCAAAGGGAGAAGGUAAAAGAAAAUGAAGAAAAGUUCCUUAAUCUUCAAAAUGAGCAUGAGAAAGCACUAGGAACCUGGAAGAAGCAUGUUGAAUAACUUAAUGGAGAAAUUAAUGAGAUUAAAAGUGAGUUAUCAUCACUUAAAGAAACUCAUACUAAGUUACAAGAAGAUUAUGAUGAAUUAUGUGAUCAGAAAAAGUUUGAGGAAGACAAGAAGUUUGAGGUAAAAUUCAAGUAUGUGGGGUAUAACCUCUUAAAAGAAAUUAGGACCAUUGCUGAUUAUUUUCUCCAUGGUUUAUAUUUUCACUUUCUCAACUUCUAAAAAUGAGUGUAUGCAUAUAGUCUGUAGUACAUUUUAAAUUAAUUUUUUAUACAAUAUGACAUAGGAUUAAGAAUCAUUUCUUGGACAUGAAUCUUCAAUUUCAGCAUAUACAUUUGUGGAUAGACAAUUUAACAUUUUCUUUAUUAAUGUAGCAUUAUAAAAAGUCUUAAAAUGUGGUAGUAUAAUUCCUUCAAUUUUGUUGUUCUUUUCCAAAAUUGUUUUGACUAUUUUGAGUCCUUUGCAUUUCCAUAUAACUUUUAGAAUCAGUUUUAUCAGUUUCUAAAAGAAAAAGUCUAUGGUAUUUGAAUUUGGCUUGUGUUGAAUAUAUAGAUUAAUUUACAAAGAAUUUAUAUCUUAACAUACAAUUCAUGACAUGGUAUAUCUUUGUAUUUAUUUAGAUUUUCUUUAAUACCGCUCAGAAAUGUUUUGUAGUUUUCAUUGUAUAGGUCUUGCAAGUAUUUUGUUAAAUUUACCCCUGAAUAUUUCAUGUUUUGGGCUCUUAGUAUAAGCAGUAUUUUUAAUAUGAGUUUUUCUAAUUGUUUCUUGCUAUGAGAUAGGGUUAAAACUGAUCUUUGUACAUUGACUUCGUAUUCUUUCA